UGUAGGAACAAGUUGAUCUGCUAUAAUCGGACGGUGCAGCACGCGGUUUACGCGUCGUGAGAAAUCAGUCGGGGGAAAAUAAACGUUUCCCCAUCCACAUUCCACAUCUCCGUCCACAAUACACGGAACCCUAAAUCGAUCGAGUUCCUCCCAUCCAGCGAUGGCCCUGGCGGCGACCACAAAAAAGAAGAACAAAGCAAUGGCCCCGGCGGCGCAGGGGGAGUGGUUCAUCAUGUACGGCAUCCCCAAGGUGUCGGGUGAGAUGAGCAAGGAAUUCCCCAAUGCGGCCUUCACCUUCAACGAGGUUCCGCUCCUUUCCCACCUAACCGUCCCGGGUAACGUCGCUACCCCCGCCGGAAGCGUCGACUACCCGUACAUCGCAGCUACCGACGACUGCGGCCUCCUGCUGCUCUGCGGUUACACCGUUGUCGGGCUCACCUACUACAUCUGCGACCCGUAUUUCCGUAGGACGCUGGGCAUCCUCCCCUCCGACGGCGGCUUCAACAGCCGCCACUCCGUCGGCCUCAUCCGCAAUCGCCGCGGCAGUGGGAUCAUGGUGGCCAUGCUCAACACGGGGCUCUUCAGUACACAGGCCCGCAUCACACUCUCCUGCACGAUUGACCUGUGCGAGUGGGUCAACAAGGAGGCCGACUGCGGCCACAUCAGGGAGACAAAACCGUGCUGCUGGGAUGGCGUCCUCUCCCACGAGGGAUUCCUGUGGUGGUUCGACCUCUCUUCUUGUAUACUUGCCUGCAACCCCUUCCUGGAUAGACCGACGUUUUACCAAAUCAUGUUCCCGCAUGUCUCUGCUUAAGCAGAUCCAUGGCGACCCCCCCCCCCCGAGUCAGCAUGUGGAAGCUGUCCUCCAACAAUCCGUCGGUCGCGUACUGGGAGUUUAAGCUUAAGGUGGACUUGACUGAUAUCUGGAGCCACCAGACCUACAAGUCUAGUAUGCUUCCGCAGAUCGUCCCCACGGUGGCGCUCGUCCACCCAAGGAAUGCCUACAAGGUUUACUUCUUCCUGGGCCAGCACAUCUUCUGUGUCAACCUGAAGAAAAAGAAACUGAUGCAGUGUCUGGAGUUGGACAAUCAGGAGCUGCCGUCACUCUCCUCCCUCGUGGUCCAUUCCUGGAAUUUGCCGGCAGGGACCACAAAAAUCCAUUCGUCUGGGCCUGAUGAGUCUCACGCCCCUGGGGUUCAUUUCCUGGUUCACUAUAACUCGGUGGAUGGUUUUCUUGAGAAAGCAGUAGCUGUCAUCAGCAGGUCGCGUCCUGAAUUGUUUGGCAUGGGUCUGGAUGAACUUGAAGAAGACGAAGAUCACUCUCUUACCAUGGAGGAAUCUGAUGACGGAGAUGACUCUGAGAUGGAGCAACUUGAAGAGGGCGGAAAUGACUGCGAGAUGACUGAGGAAUCUGAAGAGGACUGAGAUGAUGGAGGUGAUUUAGAUCCAAGUGUGGCAGCUGUUGUUACGCAGGGCUGCUUUGCGUGCCAGCCAGUGACCACCAUCCAUCACUUAUCGACUUGUCACUUCCACUUCUGUUUGCUCUUAUACUCCUAGACCAGUGGUUUGGCGUUCUGGAAGCAGCAUUGUUAUGCUAUAUACUCCUAUAUAUAUAUAUUAUACGAUGUUGUGACAAUAUGGUCAGCUCAGCCAUUUUAGCUUGUUAUAAGUUGGCAA